GAUGAACGCUAGCUACAGGCUUAACACAUGCAAGUCGAGGGACCGGCACACGGGUGAGUAACACGUAUCCAACCUGCCCUUUACUCGGGGAUAGCCUUUCGAAAGAAAGAUUAAUACCCUAUGUAAAGGAUGGGGAUGCGUUCCAUUAGGUUGUUGGUGAGGUCACGGCUGACCAAGCAUUCGAUGGAUAGGGGGUCUUAGAGGAAGCUCCCCCACAUUGGAACUGGGCCACGGUCCAAACUCGUACGGGAGGCAGCAGUGAGGAAUAUUGGUCAAUGGGCGCUAGCCUGAAACAGCCAAGUAGCGUGAAGGAUGAAGGCUUAUGGGUCGUAAACUUCUUUUAUAUAAGAAUAUGUAUUAUAUGAAUAAGGAUCGGCUAACUCCGUGCCAGCAGCCGCGGUAAUUC
rnacentral:rRNA from 1 species